rnacentral:rRNA from 1 species
AUUGAACGCUGGCGGCAGGCCUAACACAUGCAAGUCGAGCGAGCGGCGGACGGGUGAGUAAUGUCUGGGAAACUGCCUGUUGGAGGGGGAUAACUACUGGAACCGGUCGCUAAUACCGCAUACCAUCAGAUGUGCCCAGAUGGGCUUAGCUAGUAGGUGGGGUAACGGCUCACCUAGGCGACGAUCCCUAGCUGGUCUGAGAGGAUGACCAGCAACACUGGAACUGAGACACGGACCAGAGUCCUACGGGAGGCAGGAGUGGGGAAUAUUGAACAAGGGGGGAAAGCCUGAUGCAGCCAUGCCGCGUGUGUGAAGAAGGCCAUCGGGUUGUAAAGCACUUUCAGCAGGAAGGCGUUACCCGCAGAAGAAGCACCGGCUAACUCCGUGCCAGAAGCCGCGGUAAUUC